UAACACAUGCAAGUCGAACGGACCCUUCGGGGUUAGUGGCGGACGGGUGAGUAACACGUGGGAACGUGCCUUUAGGUUCGGAAUAGCUCCUGGAAACGGGUGGUAAUGCCGAAUGUGCCCUUCGGGGGAAAGAUUUAUCGCCUUUAGAGCGGCCCGCGUCUGAUUAGCUAGUUGGUGAGGUAAUGGCUCACCAAGGCGACGAUCAGUAGCUGGUCUGAGAGGAUGACCAGCCACAUUGGGACUGAGACACGGCCCAAACUCCUACGGGAGGCAGCAGUGGGGAAUCUUGCGCAAUGGGCGAAAGCCUGACGCAGCCAUGCCGCGUGAAUGAUGAAGGUCUUAGGAUUGUAAAAUUCUUUCACCGGGGACGAUAAUGACGGUACCCGGAGAAGAAGCCCCGGCUAACUUCGUGCCAGCAGCCGCGGUAAUACGAAGGGGGCUAGCGUUGCUCGGAAUUACUGGGCGUAAAGGGCGCGUAGGCGGACAUUUAAGUCAGGGGUGAAAUCCCAGAGCUCAACUCUGGAACUGCCUUUGAUACUGGGUGUCUUGAGUGUGAGAGAGGUAUGUGGAACUCCGAGUGUAGAGGUGAAAUUCGUAGAUAUUCGGAAGAACAYCCAGUGGCGAAGGCGACAUACUGGC
rnacentral:rRNA from 1 species